rnacentral:rRNA from 1 species
GACGAACGCUGGCGGCGUGCCUAAUACAUGCAAGUCGAACGGUCUUUUCUAUGGAAGCUUGCUUCCGCUGAGAAGGUAGUGGCGAACGGGUGAGUAACACGUGGGUAACCUGCCCAUAAGAGGGGGAUAACAUCCGGAAACGGGUGCUAAUACCGCAUAGUUUUCUUGAUCGCAUGAUCGAGAAAGGAAAGACGGCCUUUGUGCUGUUGCGUAUGGACGGACUCGGGGCGUAUUAGUUAGUUGGUGAGGUAAAGGCUCACCAAGACGAUGAUACGUAGCCGACCUGAGAGGGUGAUCGGCCACAUUGGGACUGAGACACGGCCCAAACUCCUACGGGAGGCAGCAGUAGGGAAUCUUCCGCAAUGGACGAAAGUCUGACGGAGCAACGCCGCGUGAGUGAAGAAGGUUUUCGGAUCGUAAAACUCUGUUGUCAGAGAAGAACAAGUCGGAGAGUAACUGCUCCGGCCUUGACGGUAUCUGACCAGAAAGCCACGGCUAACUACGUGCCAGCCGCCGCCGUAAGAC